rnacentral:rRNA from 1 species
CAAUAGCGUAUAUUAAUGCUGUUGCAGUUAAAAAGCUCGUAGUUGAAUUUUGGAGUUUUGCUAGGGUUUGGUCCGCCUCGAAAGGCGAGUACUAACUCUAGCGCUCUAUAUUUGGUAACAAUGUACAUGGGUGCUUAACUGUGCGCAUGUUUUGGGAAGGGAAACUGACUCAAAGGUGGGGAAUGUUGUGGGGAUUGUUCUGGGAGACCAGGGCGAUUUUGCAUGGCAUUUUCGGCAACAUUUUACCUAUUUUACUGUGAAAAAAUUAGAGUGUUCAAAGCAGGACUUAGGUCCAUUGUAUAGUUCAGCAUGGGAUAAUAGAAGAAGACAGCUGUCUUAUUUUGUUGGUUUUUUGAGACAAUUGUAAUGAUUAAAGGGGACAGUUGGGGACGUUUGUAUUGUGGCGUCAGCGGUGAAAUGCUAAGAUUGCCAUAAGACAAACUUCUGCGAAAGCAUUCGUCUAGGAUGUUUUCAUCAA